rnacentral:rRNA from 1 species
ACACGACUACAUUAGAUACCCCCGGUAGUCCCAGCCGUAAACUAUGCGCGUUAGGUGUAUCGGUGACCACGAGUUACCGAGGUGCCGAAGGGAAACCGUGAAACGUGCCGCCUGGGAAGUACGGUCGCAAGGCUGAAACUUACAGGAAUUGGCGGGGGAGCACCACAACGGGUGGAGCCUGCGGUUUAAUUGGACUCAACGCCGGACAACUCACCGGGGACGACAGCAAUAUGUAGGCCAGGCUGAAGACCUUGCCUGAAUCGCUG